rnacentral:rRNA from 1 species
CAAUAGCGUAUAUUAUUGAUGUUGCAGUUAAAAAGCUCGUAGUUGGAUUUGUGGCGUACGGUGUGUUCCGGGCACUUGUUGUCUGAGUAACCUGCUGUUGCCAUCCUUGGGUGGAACCUGUGUGGCAUUAGGUUGUCGUGCAGGGGAUGCCCAUCAUUUACUGUGAAAAAAUUAGAGUGUUCAAAGCAGGCUUAUGCCGUUGAAUAUAUUAGCAUGGAAUAAUGAGAUAGGACUUUUUUGCUAUUUUGUUGGUUUGCGCAAGAAGGUAAUGAUUAAUAGGGACAGUUGGGGGUAUUCGUAUUCCAUUGUCAGAGGUGAAAUUCUUGGAUUUUUGGAAGACGAACUACUACGAAAGCAUUUACCAAGGAUGUUUUCAUUAA